UUCCUACUUCACCAGAUAACCUGCCCCCAACACCACUCCAGCUUCUGCCAGACAGAUGGAACUCUCCAACGUGAAAAUCUGCGCAGCCAUUCCAACAAGCGGGACUGCCCGGUGUUGGCCGAAGGAUGCCGAAGAAAAAGAUUUAAGGAUUGGGACACUCUUACCCCAAGAUUGAGGUUUCUCAUUGGCCAGUACUAUGAAGGUUGAUGGCAUGAUCAUUCACUUCACAUCAAAGGAUAUCUACUCAUCAGUGUGCUGUUGUCAGUCAGAGGUUUCCAAAUAUGUGUUCUCCAACUCAAGGAAAAGUAGCUGGAUCCAGGCAGAAACAUGUCUAGGAACUCCCUAACUAUGCAUGCUGUGUCUCCAGAGAAAGCUGCUUCAGCAUUCCUCCUGGUUUUUGUUUUUGUAAUACUUUUCUCGACAGCAUUCUCCAGACUCUAAACUACUAGAAUAGUUCCUAAGUUCAUCCAGAUCUUUCCCAUGUCUGAAUUCUUGGUCCUCUUCCCACCCCCUGGCUCACAGAUAAAAAAGAAACAACAA